UUAUAAUGGUGAGGGCAAUAUCUGAGCAUGCCCUUAAAUCUUUCCGAAUCUUGAUAAAUAUUUUCUACUUCUUUUUGUGUAAAACUCAAAAUCUCACUUCACAAGUA
rfam:Capsicum annuum cultivar Zunla-1 unplaced genomic scaffold scaffold2569, whole genome shotgun sequence